CUCCGUUCAUCCGUUCGCCCGCUGAUGGAUGUCUGGGUUGCUGCCACCUUUUGGCUGUUGGCGAACGAGAGUGACUGCCUGUUGUUCCGCUCCUCUCUGCCCAGGUGCCCAAUGGCACUGUGGAGGAGAAGCACGCGCACAUGAACAAGAACUCAUGGGCAGGGGCCUCGUCUGUCUUGUUCACUGCUACAGCCAGGACCUAGAGCAGGCGCUCAGUGAACACUUGCUGGGUGACCAAACGGCUGGAGAUGGCCCACACUGAAUGAAGGAAUGCACAGAUGAGGCGGGUCAGCAGGCUUCAUAGCGAUUUGGGGUGGGUGGACUGUCCUAGCUCAGACUGCGAUGGGGAAGGCAAGGGCAGAAACCAGCUUAUUUUGCUUUUCCUUUCUUUUAAAGGAAUUAUUAGUCUUUAGAGAAGCAUGCACAACUGCAUCCUCAUGGUCAGAAGAAG
rnacentral:lncRNA from 1 species